UACGGGAGGCAGCAGUGGGGAAUAUUGCACAAUGGGCGCAAGCCUGAUGCAGCGACGCCGCGUGGGGGAUGACGGCCUUCGGGUUGUAAACUCCUUUCGCUAGGGAAGAAGCCACUUUGUGGUGACGGUACCUGGAUAAGAAGCACCGGCUAACUACGUGCCAGCAGCCGCGGUAAUACGUAGGGUGCGAGCGUUGUCCGGAAUUACUGGGCGUAAAGAGCUCGUAGGUGGUUUGUCGCGUCGUCUGUGAAAUCCCGGGGCUUAACUUCGGGCGUGCAGGCGAUACGGGCAUAACUAGAGUGCUGUAGGGGAGACUGGAAUUCCUGGUGUAGCGGUGAAAUGCGCAGAUAUCAGGAGGAACACCGAUGGCGAAGGCAGGUCUCUGGGCAGUUACUGACGCUGAGGAGCGAAAGCAUGGGUAGCGAACAGGAUUAGAUACCCUGGUAGUCCAUGCCGUAAACGGUGGGCGCUAGGUGUGGGGGUUUUAUUUACGAUUCCCGUGCCGUAGCUAACGCAUUAAGCGCCCCGCCUGGG
rnacentral:rRNA from 1 species